CUAGUCGCGCCCCUCGCCAGCCGCGGCGCAGGCGGCGCGGGGCCGAGCCCGGGGAAGUCCGGUGCGGCGCGGGGCGGGGAGGCGCUGCCGGCCGGCAGGGCGAGCGUCGCCGCCGCAGCCCGCCCCGGGCCGGGGGCUCGCGGGAGACGCGGCCGGCGAGGCCCCGCUGCGCCGCGGCGCGCAGUUCUCGGCCGGAACCUUGUUGCCAGGGGAGACGGGCGCUUUACGGCAGGACGUUUGAACGGCGGCGAGGGAAAAGUUGCCGCCGCAGGUCUGUUCAAGAAAGAAACCUCUGGAAGAGAGUGAUGCUGUUCCCAGCGUAUGCGAAAUUGGUCGUUCCCCUGUUUUCGUAAAUGAUACUACUUUUAUGAGGAGAAUUUUUUAUUGGAAGAAUUGCUAGGAGAACAAUGACCCAGAAAUAUGCUGCUUGACUGCAAAUACCUGAAGAACUAAUCUUGAAAAAUGGAAUUUCAGAGCUUUCAACAUACAGUUUUAGUGUCUUUCCAAAUUGUCUUUUGAUUUCUAUUUUUGCUUUCAGAUGAAUCUGGUAAGUUUGAAAGGUGUACCCUCUAAUUUUGUAGUGUUAUGAAAUGGUAAAACCCUUUGAAAUUUGCACACAUUUAGAGCAGAAUUUGUAAAUAUUUAUUGAGGGAAAUGAUCAUUUUUUAACUCUCAACUUAGUGUUUUCUGUGUCCGUACUUUACUGUGAAUUUAUCUGUUCAUUUAAAACUUGAAGCUUUGUUUCCUGAUAAUAAAUUGUCAUGUAUCUUAUGUAACUUGAAAAAGCUGUAUCUCUUGAAAGAUCCUAAGUAUAGGGAUGUUAACUGCCAUCAAGCAUCAAUGUGUACAUACCUAUAUAUAGCUAUAAUGACUUGCACAUAUGUAUUUGCCUUUCUGAAAUCUUCCUUGUUAAGAAAAAGUGGUUUUGAAGAUCACAAAGGCUUUCAAAGCUAUUUUGUUUCUCUUGUUCUCCUUUUGCCUUAUGUGUCACAUAUUGUUUUUCUCUUGAGAGCAAUUAACCUGUGCUAAUACUUUAUGUCACUUUGGUAUGCUUUAUAAAGUAAAUAUAUGAAAACACAAGCAGGACCGACCUACAAAUUGAUUUUCUUAUGCCAGUUUUAGUCUUGGAUGUGUUUUGUGGGGUUUAGAGCAAAUAUGGAAGCAGCCUUCACACACACACGCACACGUGCAUGCGCACGCACACAUACGCAUGCACGCGCGCACACACACACACAUAUUUUGGAAGAGGAAAAAUUUGAAAAGGCCAUUCCACAUUCUUCAUCCAAAAGGCCUCUUUUGGAUGUUCAAAAUGAAACUGGAAUGUAAAUUGGGGUACAAUCAUCACAUUGCAAACAGUUGUGGUGUUUUUGUGUUUGUUUUCAGAGCACCUGGAACUUCAGUUGAGAGCAUCUGCUUUAAUAGUUUCUUUCCUACUACUAAAUGCAGUAGCAAAAUACUAUAUCAAAAUAUUAUCUUUUUGUUUUAAAUUACAUCUGAGUUUGUGAUGAUCAAAUUACAGUUGUAGUUCAGAUGGAUUACUCGGUUUUAUUAGUAGCACAUUUUUAUUCAUCUUUGUUUAUGAUGACUUUGCAUAAGUGUCCUUAUCCAUUAUAUUAUCUAAUUAAACGCUAAUGUGUUGUGAAUAUUUUUCCAUAUGGUUCAUGUUUGUUUCCUUCUGUAACUUACAUUCUGUUUCUGAUUUAGUUCUAUUCCCCACCCCCUCUUGCUGUUUGCUGUCUCACAGUAUUGUACUAUUGCUCAUUUGGCUCUCAUUUGGAGUUAUUUUCUUCGUUAUGAUAUCUGUACAGCUGGCUCACUCAGCUCUUUAAAUCCCAACUUCAAAUUCAUUUCUUAAUUAUUUCAUUGCAUAGUCUUCUCAUUUAUGUUUGUUUUUUAUUGCUGGAACAUAUUUUAAUGUUAGAUGUUAUUCAUUUGUUAUCUCUUGUUUGUCAUUUGUUUUUUCUUGCUGUAAAGUGCAUAAUACUGCUGCAGAAAAUGUUUGUUAACACGUAAAGGAAAGCUGUUGUUUCUGAGCUGUAAUAGAUUUGGAGUUUGCAGUCUAUAUUCUGAAUGCACGGAAUUAGUGUAAGGAGAACCAAAAAAAGUGAUAUAAGCCUCUACCAAAACAAAUAAAUACAACUAGAAAUCUGAUUUUACUUAACAAAUCUCAGCAAAUCAUCAAUACUAUAAAGAGAAACACAAAUACUAUAAUGGUUGUUUUCUGAGAUGUAAGCUGAAGCACUGAUGUAUUGAACAUAGUUGGUCUGAUUCUCACAUGUGGUGAUACAAAGAUCUGUCUGGUAGAUACGAACGUAUGGUAUUAAAUAGACAAUAUUAUAAUUGCAAGUCAGGUGUACAGAUCAAAUAUGUUGGCAUUAUAGAGCUGUUUAAAAUCUAGCGUAAAGCAUCUGUGAGUUUAGUGUACUGGAUCAGGGAACAGCAUUCCAGUACGAGAAUAGAUCAUGUGUGGAAGAGAUUCUUUCACUCCAUGUAGAUCCUGGUGUUGCUAUAGGAUUGGAAAGGACCACAUCAGACCAGUAUGAGGUGUUUUCCCCUCAUGAGGUUGUCAGAGUUUAUGGAGUUGACUUUCUUCAUCUCUCUGUGUUAUGAAAUUAGCUGUAACUUUUACUCCCAGCUUUGCAGGGUAAAAAGUCCUAGAAUUUGUUGCCUGGCUUGCAACUGGUGUCAUUUUUGCUGAGUGCUUUUAAACAAAGGUAAUACCAGCUCUCUGGAUUUUCCUAUGAAAUGCCAUAAAACACACAAAUCCUUAUGGAAAAAAAGCAUUUGUUGUGCCAUGAAAAAAAUUUGCUCUUUUGUUUUAUAUUUGUAAUUCAGCCAAAUGUUUAUAAAAGUACAGGCGUUCUUAGCAUAGAGAGGUUAAGUGCAAAAACCUUGUUCUGCAAAGAUGUAUUAUUCAAAAGCUUGAGGUUUGCUCCUGCAACAGCCGUGCUUGUAUUUGGAUUCAUCAUUGCAGCAUCUUGAAGAAGGGGACAGAAGAAAUGGCUUAAUCGUUAUUAAUAAUGGUACUUUGAUGCAAUGCCAUCUAUUCUAAAUAAUGACAAGAAUUUCAUGGGUUUCAUUGCUAAUUUUAGUUGUAGGAUUAAUUUGCAAAAUGAAAAAGCUCUUCACUACAAUAGCAUUCUUCACCAUGAAUUCAGGACUACUACACUUACUUGCAUAUUUAACCUUAGACUGCUUUAUUUUUAGUUGAUGAUUAUUUCACAAGGACUACUCUGCUCCUAAACAGUAUUUAUAGUUUCUUUGGCAUUUUUAUCUUAACAUUGUUCCUUGCCUAAAUGUUUGUCCCAGAAGGUCUGAAAAAUUAUGUUUGCAACUACUUGUUAAUUUCUCCUAUAAAAAAGGAACUGAUGUGCAACACUUAUUUUUCAGAGUCUAUUUCAAGAUGUUUUAACUACAGUGUAGUCUUAAUCUGAGUGAGACUAAAUCGCAGUCACAUUUUCUCUUUAACAGUAAUGUACUACAUUCAUUUUACAGCAUCUGAAACUGUGUUUUAAGAACAUGGGCUUGGAUCUCCAUUCUCCCUAAACUGAUGCAUACUGGUAUGAACUCUAAACAAAUGUUCUUGGCACUGUUUUCCCAGCCACUUUCCUGUGGUGUAGCGAUAGAUUACCCUUUCUGUUGACUUGGGCAAGACUGGAGAAGAAAAAAGCAAACAGACAGACCUGUCCAUCCCUGUAGACUACUUAGACUUAAAUGCCAAAUUCAUCAAGCAGGCCGUUCUUCGUACGUAGAAGAACACACUAGACAGAGCAUCCGCCAACGGGGGAUCACCAAAUGCGCCACAGUAAAGCACAUAACUAAGCUGAAAUGGAAAUAUUUUACGUGAAUUCAGCUGCGUGGUUUUUUUUUGCUACUCGAUGCCACCUCUCGUGCUGCCUCUCGUGCAAGAGCUCAGUACCUUUCUUUCACUAGCUUUUCUUGCAUUUCAGAUUACAAAAUAUGCAAAACAACUUGAGAUAACAUUUAUAGUGUAGAUCUGUUAUUACAUAGCAUAUGUUUGUGUAUACAUGCACACACAUGUGCAUAAAGCUGU